rnacentral:rRNA from 1 species
AUGAACCCGCGCUACAAAACCCUCCCCAAAUCCUACAAAGCCCGAAGCUUCCUCCGCAGAUCCAACCAAACCCUCGUCAAAUCCUUUGCCUCCUCGGCCCCAGCCGCGUCGAGCGCACUGCCCCACACCGACGCGCUCGCGGAGCUCGUGCAGGCCACCCGUUCGGCGAAAUGCCUCCGCAGGCUCCACGCGCUGCUGGCCGUCUCGGGCACGAUCAACCGGGACACCUCCGCCGUCACGGCCGCCGUCGAGGGGUACCUCUCCCUCGGCAUGCCGGGCGCCGCGGCCUCGGUGUUCGCCGGAUCCCACCGCCGCCGCCCCACGGUGUACUCGCUCAACCUCGCCGUCCGCUGCUUCUCGGCCCACGGGUUCCACCGGGAGCUACUCGAGAUGUACAGGAGGGCGUGCGUCUUCGGCGGCUCUGACAACUUCACGUUCCCGCCGGUCAUCAAGGCGUGCACGGCCGUGGGCUGCCUUCGCCUCGGGAGGGAGGCGCACGGCAGGGUCCUGCGGGAUGGGCACGGGGCCAAUGUCGGCGUGCAGACCGCACUGCUUGACAUGUACGCCAAGGCUGGCUGGGUUGGCGCGUCCAGGAAGGUCUUUGACUGCAUGGCGCAGAGGGACUUGAUUUCCUGGAACGCGCUGAUCUCAGGGUAUUCUCUGAAUGGGUGCUUCAGAGAAGCUGUCGAGGCUAUGAGGGAGAUGCAGGAGGACGGCAUGAGGCCGAACGCUAGCACUUUUGUUGCCGCUAUCGGUGUGUGCAGUGCCGUUGCAGAUUCGGAUGCCGGUGAUUCGCUGCAUGCGUUUGCACUGAAAUGUGGGGUGCUUGGUGAUGAGUCCCUUGCGCCUGCAUUCAUCUCAAUGUACGCCGCAUUCAAUGAUCUUUCUUCGUCGCGGUUGCUCUUUGAUCUGCAACCUGUGAAGGAUUCGGUGUCUUACAAUUCCAUGAUCUCAGCGUACAUGCAGCAGGACAAAUGGAAGGAAUCAUUUGAGGUCUUCAGGUUGAUGCGUUGCGCAGGACUAGGGCCUAAUCUGGUAACAGUGGUAUCUGUCCUUCCAACCUGCAGUGACUUUUUUGGUGUAUGCGUCGGCGAAUCUGUGCAUGGCAUGGUUAUCAAGUUUGGCCUAGCAGAGCAGAUUUCUGUUGUCAGCGCUCUUGUUUCCAUGUAUUCUAAACUUGGGGAGUUGGAUUCAGCUGUGCAGCUUUUCUGUAGUUGUACCGGAAAGAACCAUCUUCUGUGGAACUCCAUAAUUUCUGGGUACAUUUUGAACAACGAAUGGCACACUGCUCUUGAUACAUUCCGCAGGAUGCAAACCGAAGGUGUUGCAGCCGAUGCAACAACUGUUAUUAAGGUCAUCUCCGGGUGCAGGCACAUAAAAGAUUUACGUUUGGCAAAGUCCAUCCAUGGAUAUGCUGUGAGAAACAGUUUUGAGUUGAACCAAAGCGUGAUGAAUGCACUCCUGGCUAUGUACGGUGACUGUGGAGAACUCUCAAAUUCAUACAAGUUAUUUCAGAAAAUGGAAGUACCUAUGUUGAUAUCUUGGAACACGAUAAUAUCUGGCUAUGCUGAAGCUGGAGAUGCAGAGGCUUGUGUAAGACUCUUCCGCCAGAUGCGCCAAGCAGACUUGCAGUUUGAUGUAGUAACCCUGAUUGGCCUUACCAGCAGUAUUUCGGUGGCUGAGGAUGCCACAAUUGGAGAAUCACUUCAUUCUUUGGCAGUUAAAAGUGGAUGCAGUACAGAUGUUUCUCUUACACACACCCUCAUUACCAUGUACAGCAGCUGUGGUUCUGUUCAGGCAUGCCAGCGACUCUUUGACAGCUUGUCUUCUGUGAACACAGUCUCUUACAAUGUUCUGAUGACUGGAUACCGUAAAAACAACCUAUCUGAAGAGAUCUUACCUUUGUUUUAUGAAAUGGUAAAGAAUGAGAAGGAGCCAAAUCAUAUUACAUUACUGAAUGUAUUGCCUGUUUGUCAGAGUCAGUUGCAAGGAAAGUCUGUCCACUGCUAUGCAGUUCGAAAUUUCUUCAGGCUAGAAACCCCUAUGCUCACAUCAGCCAUUUGUAUGUACAGUAGGUUCAACAAUUUUGAUUACAGCUGCAAACUCUUCAAUUCGGUUGGUGAAAAAAACAUCAUAGUAUGGAAUUGCAUCUUAUCUGCCUGUGUUCAGUGCAAGCUGGCUGAUAUUGCAUUUGAUUUCUUCAGGCAGAUGUGCUUCCUUAAUGUGAAUCCUGAUGCAGUAACCAUGUUGUCACUCAUCUCAGCAUGUUCGCAGAUUGGAACAGGAGAUUUGGCAGAAUGUGUUACAGCUCUCUUACUAAAGAAUGGCUUUGGUGGAAGCCUUUUUGUUGUCAAUGCUCUCAUUGACAUGCAUUCAAGGUGUGGAAGCAUUUCAUUUGCAAGAGAGCUCUUUGAUAGCUCAGGGGCAAAAGAUUCUGUUACUUGGAGUGCAAUGAUCAACUCAUAUGGUUUACAUGGGGAUGGCAAGUCUGCCCUUGACAUUUUCUCCAUGAUGAUAGCCUCAGGAGUGGAGCCAGAUGAUGUAACUUUUGUUAGUAUCUUGUCAGCUUGCAGUCAUAGUGGCCUUGUAGAGCAAGCAAGAUCCUUGUUUAAAUCACUACAGAUAGACUACGGCAUCACACCGAGGAUGGAGCAUUAUGCAUGCAUGGUGGAUCUGCUAGGUCGAACUGGCCACUUGGAUGGAGCCUAUGAUGUUGUCGGGUCAAUGCCAUUCAGACCAUCAGAAAGUUUGCUUGAGUCAUUGCUUGGAGCCUGUAGAUUCCAUGGAAAUUCCAAAAUUGGUGAGGCUGUGGGGAAAUUGCUCAUUGACUCUGACCACAGUAAUCCACGGUCUUAUGUCAUGCUUUCUAACAUCUAUGCUUCAGUUGGUAAAUGGAAUGACUAUGAGUGGCUGCGGUUAGAUAUGGAAGGAAAAGGGUUGAGGAAAGAUGUGGGAAUCAGUUUGAUUGAGUAG